GACGUAGGGGGCCAGCGUUGCUCGGAAUUACUGGGCGUAAAGGGUUCGUAGGCGGUGUGGCAAGUCGGAAGUGAAAUCUCCAGGCUUAACUUGGAGGCUGCUCCCGAAACUGCCAUGCUAGAGUGCGGGAGAGGCGAGUGGAAUUGCAGGUGUAGCGGUGAAAUGCGUAGAUAUCUGCAGGAACACCGGUGGCGAAGGCGGUUCUCUGGGAAUAUCCUGACGCUGAGGAGCGAAAGUGUGGGGAGCGAACAGG
rnacentral:rRNA from 1 species